UUUUCCGGCAAGAUGGCGGGAGGAGAGGCAGACGUGACUUGGGGGCAGCAGCAUCUCUCUACUCAAGAUCUCACCACUUUAGAUGUUACGAAGUUGACUCCACUUUCACAGGAAAUUAUCAGCAGGCAAGCCACGAUUAAUAUAGGAACAAUUGGUCAUGUUGCUCAUGGGAAAUCAACAGUUGUAAAAGCUGUUUCUGGUGUUCACACUGUCAGGUUCAAAAAUGAACUGGAAAGAAAUAUUACAAUCAAGCUAGGAUAUGCUAAUGCUAAGAUUUAUAAACUUGAUGACUCAAAUUGUCCUCGGCCAGAAUGUUACAGAUCUUGUGGAAGUAGUACACCUGAUGAGUUUCCUACAGAUAUCCCAGGAACUAAAGGGAACUUCAGACUAGUCAGACACGUUUCUUUUGUUGACUGCCCUGGCCAUGAUAUUUUAAUGGCUACAAUGCUGAAUGGUGCAGCGGUGAUGGAUGCAGCUCUUCUAUUAAUAGCAGGUAAUGAAUCCUGUCCUCAGCCUCAAACUUCUGAACACCUGGCUGCCAUUGAAAUUAUGAAGUUAAAGCAUAUUUUAAUUCUGCAAAAUAAAAUUGAUUUGAUAAAAGAAAGUCAGGCAAAAGAACAAUAUGAACAAAUCCUUGCAUUUGUACAAGGUACAGUAGCUGAAGGAGCUCCUAUUAUUCCUAUUUCUGCUCAGCUGAAAUACAAUAUUGAAGUUGUCUGUGA